AUACUUUGAAUGAAUGUUGAAUGGGAACUGGGAUAGGAACUGCUACUGGCGGAUCUUUGCCUAGAACCGAAGCUGACCUUUAGCUAGCCGACCAUGUGCCAGAAGUCUAUACUGGCAUUUCAAUAGGUCAAGCAAGUCCGCUGGCAAGCUUGUAGGCUAUUGGCUUCUUCCUAUAUCCCUGUUCGGGAAAGCUAUUGAUUCCAUUACCGAACCAAAAAAAAUUAUUCCCUUAGUUCUACCUACCACCCUUUCACACUGUUUAAGGGGCAGCAUCUAUUGAGAGUGGAUUUCAGGUGUUUAGAUAUUUCAAGCAUAAGCAGUAGUUGAACCAGCAUAAUGAAAAAGCUAGCAAAAGUAGAAGAAAUUUUCCCAAAAACAAUGAUUGAUUUUAUCGUCCAUCUUCACCGCCAACCCCUUGGUCCCCCGAUGGCGCAUAUGAAUUAUCGUGGCCCUGUGAAAAAUUAGGGAGAAAAGGUGAAGCACAUGGCAUAAAGAAAUACCACGGCUGGAUAGCUCCGCGUAUUUUAUAAGUAUGAGGAAAAGCUUGUAUAUGUAUAGAGAGAGCUAAGCCGGGCAUACAUUGUAAAAACGGCAAAAAUCCUCGCAAAGGAAGGAAGAGGAAGCGUGUAGCCGAUGACAAACGGGUACGCAUAAAAUGCACAGUACCUCGGGUGAUGUACUUAUACUACAUCUCUACUAGCGGGAGAGAUUUUAACAUGGGUCGGGAUUCGCCACUUAGUCCUAAAUGCAGUAAUCAUCAUCGCAUCCAUCGUAAAAAUGAUAGGUUCAGGGUCAUCCUCAGGUAGAUUUUUGAAGUCUAACCUAUCCUUCCCGGAGCGUGGGAUUAUCUCGUCCAAGGUGGGGAAGUUUUCAUAUUCCACCAUGGCCGCCCCUUCCUCAUGAAGAGGUGCAUCCACAAUCAAUGUCACAGGGUCAGAUGAAGCACUGGCCAUUUUCUCUGAUUGUGUGCGAAAAAAGAAAUAAAAAGAUGAAGGAGAUAAUAGUAGCAAAAGAUACUGAAUGGGGAGAGAAAGCACAGAAGCUGGAAGAAAAGAACUCGGGCUUCAAAGGCUCUGAAAAUACAACAAUUCAAAUGAGGAGUGUUUAUCCCUAUUUAUAAGAUUAUAGGCACCCAAAUCGAGAAAGCCCAAACGUCGCCUCAUUAGUUUCAAAACGGAAGAAGCGAGGGAAACAAUGUAAUGUAUGGGGAACGUGCGCCAUAAUGGCGCAUGAUGAAACCAUGUCAAUUCCAACAGACGUAAUAGUCAGGUACGACUCUUGAAGCGUCACAUCGUCACUUAGCCAAAAAAGGGGAAUCACUCUUCGGCCAAUGCACUCAAAAAAAUUGCAACUGAAGAAGUCCUUCCAUCGAGGUCUGAUCAUGCCCAACUCUAGUCCUAAAAAGGAUAAGCGGUCACUGCAAAUAUAAUCUGGUCUAAAAGUCCAGAGUCGAAUCCUAUAGAGAACUAAGGCUUAGCUAUAUCUGUUUAAUAUCACUAAGAAGACAAGUUUGAACAAUUUUCUAAAUUAUAAAGAUUGAGAUUUAUAUUCUAACUAAUUAACUAGCAAAUACUAGAAAGCGGUAAAUUAUCAACUAACGAGACAAAGGGUUGAAGACUAAAUUAAGGAGGUCUAGAGUUAUGAUUUUCCCAGUUGUCGAAAUUCUUCUAGCUAUGUUCCCUACAAUUUCGCCAAUGUAUUCUCUAAUGAUCGUGAGCAUUUUAGGUGUUGUAAUUUUUUCUCGAACAACUACAAUAAUUUACUAGACAUAUUCUCUCGAACUACGCUAGUUGGCUUUAUCUAACCACUCAUUAUGACCACGUCAAGGCUUUGUUAUUUCUAAACCUGCCUUUAAACCCGCUGUAUUGAUUUCUCACAUACGUUAAGAGUGACGUUGUUCAACAACCACCUAAAUAUGUAUGCUUUAUCAAGCAACACAUAAUAAAUAGGCAAAGUCAAUCGAUGGCUAUUCAAUCAACAACAAUAAACAUGUAGUUGAACAAGUAGAGAAAUCCAACGGCUUAGUUAUAUAAAAACAUAACAAGAAUUUAUCCUACAAAAGGUUCUAUCAAAACCCGAGAUAACAAAUUAGUUAUUCAUAAUAGUAUGUAAAACUACAAUACUAAAAGUCAUAACCAACAAUAAAAAAUAGGAAGAGGAAGGAAAAACUCUUAGAAGAAUUCCCCGCCUUACUCAUAUUGUGUUUCUCCCUCCUUAGGUCGAAUCUGUGUCAAAAAUCUGUCAAACCUCUUAAAAUACCAUUUUUUCAUGUAUAUAUACCAAGUAGGGUCGGUCCCAAACAAUUAUACCUUCUCCUACGCGAAAAAGUACAAUUUUUCAGGUUUGGACACUCGCGGUCUGGGCGAGGUCCGGGCACGAUAUUUUCCCAGUGCACUACCUCAGUCAGCAUUUUUCACCCUGUUCUGUUUGAAAUUUGGAAAAAUGUAAAACAUAAAAUUUGUAGCCCUUUGAGUUAGAUUUCCAACCAUAUAUUAUAUAUCCCAAAUGAAGUUUGAAGCAAAGAGUUAUGUCUAUUUUACUAGACAGUGCGCAAUGUGCCUACUCGAGUCUUCGUUUGUUCUUAACUAUCAAAUUUGACCCCUAAACAUGAUCCAGGCUUAAUUCCUCGGGCUUUUACUCAGACUUAAAAGCUCCAAAUCACUAGAAUUCAUUCAAUAACAUCUAUAUAGCUCGAAAUCACUACUACAGGGCAUAAAACACACCAUUAGUGCAAAACACUAGCGAUUAAAGCUCAAACUCAAUUAAAAUGCAGUAAAUUAGAGUGUAAUAAGCGACUAAAAUACGCAAUUAUAGCAUAUCAUCAACACCCCACACUUAAGCCAUUGCUCGUCCUCGAGUAAUCAAACUACACUUUAUAUAGACACGACCUUUUUAAAUAAUUCUCCUAAUUCAUCACACCAAGAGUAUUUAAAAUAGACUAAGCACAAAAGCGUAGCAUCUUCACCUCAAGAUUUGACUCACAAGUACCAUGCAUUAUUCACAACUCACCCACUUACUCUACCAUCGUGGUCACUGACAUUACAUUUCCUUCAUGAAUCAAGUGCCCUUGCACAACAAAAGAGAAUAGUUCCACACAGUAAAAUUUAAGAACACUUAGGAACUCAAGAUAGAAAGAAUUCACUCACUCUCAGAAAUAACAUUCAUAUGCCACAAAAGAUGCACCAUAGGCUUGCCCCGUAGUGUAUUACUCUACUAAUCGAGCUCAUUCAAUCUAGGAUCAAGUAGGACUUUAUUUGGUUAUAAUGUAGGCUGCGGGACGGGUAAGAUACAUUUAGAUAUAAGAGUGACUACACCUCUCUAAGCACUUUAAUACAUAUACUUUAACAUUCAAACCCCAUACUUAUGUCAAACCAAACUCCACCUUCACAUCAAUGUUAUUACCCCAUACUUCUUUAAGCACAAUUACAUCAAGAGUCACCACUUAUCAAGGAAUACUUUUUUUUCACAGUAAUACAACUAUUUUUUUCAAUUCAAGUGGCUCCUAAUUGUUCAAAACAGUGCACAUUUCUCCUUAUUUCAUUAGUUCCACUCAAAAGCCAAACCAGUCACCCCACACUUUAACUUUUAUACAGUUCAUAACAAUUCAAGUGCUCAUGAGAGGUUAAAAGGUUCAAAUAGAUGAUUAAUUCAAAUAAAUGGGUACGGCUUGCAAUGUGGUUGCCAAAGAAACAGGAUUACAGGCUCAAAGGGGUUAACUACGAUACAUAACAAUUAGGCGGGUAAAAUAUACAUAUCUGGCUCAACAAAGAAACGCCUAUAUCACUUCCAAGACUGAACAAAACUACUAUUUCGCUUUGCAAACACACAGGGCAAGUUCUAGGCAUCAAAUGCAAUGCACAGAAUAUAACAAAUCCUUACACACACAUGGCACAUAACUCACUCAGGAUUGGACUCAUCAAGACACUCUAGUCAAAGCAGUUAAGCAAAUUUAAGAUCAUACAAUUUAAGGUACUUAUACAAGAGUCAAAAACUGAGCCUAAGCGUCACAACCAAAGUACUCACUAUUCUCAAGGCAUAACAAAGUCAAGAGAUAUUGCUUCAAUUCAAAACACAACACAAUGGUUCAUACUCCCCAAAAAAACUAUUUACACCCGGUUAAAAUAAAACCUUUGGAAAAGAACUGCGACACAAAGAAAAACCAAGUAAUAAUUGCUACACUACCUAAUAAAAGAAAAUCUUUGUUUUUUGUUUUUUUAGACUUAAAUCCCUCAAGAAAAUUAUCUAAUAGAUCCAUCGUCGGGAAAAAGUCAAACUUUUUUUUUGUUUUUCUAAAAAUAAUUAAAAAAUAUUCAAUUAAACUAACACAACUAAAAUAGCAUAGAAAGUCACCCCGACAAUCUCCUCACCCCACACUUAAAAUUGUGUAUUGUCCCCAAUACACAACAUAACUAAUAAAAGGAUAAAAAGGACUCCCUGGUAGGCCAAAGGCCGAAGCACUAACAACUCAUGGGGUACUCAGACUUCUCCCAAGCUUGGUCCUUCGUGCGGGUACCUCACACUUAGUUCCAACCAUUUGGGUUGUUGUUGCAUCCUUCCAAUAACAUUGCUUUCUAUGUUUCUAGAAAUAAAAAAACGACACUACAAGAAUAAUACAAUAAUAAUAAAUAAAUAAAAUAAAAUAAACUAAAUUAAAAAUAAAAAAAUAAAGUUGGGUUGCCUCCCAACAAGCGCUUGAUUUAACGUUGCGGCACGACGUGAAUCACUUUUUGCCUCCACCUCGAGCUUAUGAAUUGAACCCCAAGUUUUGAUUCAAGCUUAUGAUUAUAGUCAUGGGGCGGCGGAACGAAUCUAACUGGCCCAAGGAAAUAAUGUAGUAUUCUGCACUCCUUGACCUUUGUAUGAGGUAUGUAAUCCUGACUUUUUGGCAAGAAGAAUUCCAGAAUAUAUGCACGUUGUUCCUCAUUCCUUGACGCUUCAAUUGGUUCGGAUGACUCUAUUUCCAUAUCAUCAUCCAAACAUAAUGUGGAAAAAUGCUUGGAGUGUGGACAAUGCGCUCAAACACAUGAACUUUAAGACUUUCAACAUCCUCAACAUCAAUAAUACUAGAGUCAACAAAAUUUAUAUCCCCAAAGUCCUUGGCUGGCUCUAGUCUCACUUUUUCAACAUUGAUAUCCUCAAAUUAUAGUUGGCUAGGUUGUUGAUGUUCUACUCUGACCUCCCCAAUUAAUACCUCAAAUUCAUGCUCUUCUUGGCUACUAUACUCAAUAUUGGCUUGUUGAGCAUUAAAAGCCCCAACCACUUGACGCAAUUGAGCCUCCAACUUGCGAAUAGUUGCCUCUUACCUUUCUAUCUGCAAUUGUUUUUCAUUAUUUUAUUUCAGAAUGCACUUUAACAUAUCCUUGAUCUCCCUCACGUCUGCAUCCUCAGGUUCUUUGUUCCUGUUAACUUCACAAGAAAAGGUAGAAUCAUCAUAGUAAGGGGUUGGGGGAAGAUAAAAAAUAUAAGCACAGCCAUAAAAGUGACCAUUUUUACCACCACACACAUUCCACAAAUAAGAUUGAGUUGGUGCACAUAACUCGCUCUCAGGAACGUUUUGAAAAUUUUGCCACGGGUGGUUUCCUUCACAAUAUGUAUGGAGAUCAAUAGUAGAAUUAUAUACACCUAAAUUCUCAUAAUUCCAAGAUGUCAUGUUUCUCAAAUCAACAGUUAUAAAAAAAUACAAAAAAAAAACAAAACAAGAUAAAAGUUCAAACUUGAACCCCAGCAAUAUAUACAGCUACAACUACAUCGUUAGUUCCCCGGUAACGGCGCCAAAAUUGAUCACGUCCAACUCUAAUCCUAAAAAGGAUAAGAGCUCGCUGCAAAUAUAAUCCGGUCUAAAAGUCUGGAGUCGAAUCCCACAGAGAACUAAGGCUUAGUUAUAUCUGUUUAAUAUCACUAAGAAGACAAGUUUGAACAAUUUUCUAAAUAAUAAAGAUUGAGAUUUAUAUUUCUAACUAAUUAACUAGCAAAUACUAGAAAGCGGUAAAAUUAUCAACUGACAAGACAAAGGGUUGGAAACUAAAUUAAAGAAGUCUAGAGUUAUGAUUUUCCCAAUUGUCGGAAUCCUUCUAGCUAUGUUCCCUACAAUUUCGCCAAUGUAUUCUCUACUGACCGUGAGCACUUUAGGUGUCGUAAUUCUCUCUCGAACAACUACAACAAUUUACUAGACAUAUUCUCUCGAACUAUGCUAGUUGGCUUUAUCUAACCGCUCAUUAUGACCACAUCAAGGUUUUGUUAUUUUUAAACCUGCCUUUAAACCCGAUGUAUUGAUUUCUCACAUACGUUAAGAGUGGCGUUGUUCAACAACCACCUAAAUAUAUAUCCUUUAUCAAGCAACACAUAAUAAAUAAGCACAGUCAAUCGAUGGACAUUCAAUAAACAACAAUAAAUACGUAGUUGAACAAGUAGAGAAAUUCAACGGCUCAAUUAUAUAAAAACAUAAGAAGAAUUUAUCUUACAAAAGGUUCUAUCAAAACCUUAGAUAACAAAUUAGCUAUUUAUAAUAGUAUGUAAAACUAUAAUACUGAAAGUCAUAACCAACAAUGAAAAAUAGGAAGAGGAAGGAAAAACUCGUAGAAGAAUUUCCUGCCUUGCUUCUAUUGUGUCUCUGCCUCUUAGGUCGAAUCUGUGUCAAAAAUCUGUCAAACCUCUUAAAAUACCAUUUUCCAUGUAUAUAUACCAAGUAGGGUCAGGCCCA
rnacentral:lncRNA from 1 species